UACGUAGGCAGCGAGCGUUGUUCGGAUUUACUGGGCGGAAAGCGUGCGUAGGCGGUGUCUUAAGUUUGUUGUGAAAUCUCCCGGCUUAACCGGGAGGGUGCGGCGAAUACUGAGAUGCUGGAGUGCCGGAGAGGUAAGCGGAAUUCCUGGUGUAGCGGUGAAAUGCGUAGAUAUCAGGAGGAACACCUGCGGUGUAGACGGCUUACUGGACGGUAACUGACGCUGAGGCACGAAAGCGUGGGUAGCAAACAGG
rnacentral:rRNA from 1 species